GAUGAACGCUAGCGGCAGGCUUAAUACAUGCAAGUCGAACGGUAAGGUCUCUUCGGAGAUACACGAGUGGCGCACGGGUGCGUAACGCGUAUGCAACCUACCUUUAACUGGGAAAUAGCCCCGAGAAAUCGGGAUUAAUGUCCCAUAUUAUUCUUUGAAUACCUAUUCGAGGAAUGAAAGCUCCGGCGGGUAUUGAUGGGCAUGCGUGACAUUGGCUAGUUGGUGAGGUAACGGCUCACCAAGGCAAAGAUGUCUAGGGGUCCUGAAAGGGUUAACCCCCACACUGGUACUGAGACACGGACCAGACGCCUACGGGAGGCAGCAGUAAGGAAUAUUGGGCAAUGGACGCAAGUCUGACCCAGCCAUGCCGCGUGAAGGAUGAAUGUCCUAUGGAUUGUAAACUUCUUUUAUGCAGGAAAAAUAUCCCGGUCGUGAACCGGGACUGAUGGUACUGUAUGAAUAAGCAUCGGCUAACUCCGUGCCAGCCGCCGCGGUAA
rnacentral:rRNA from 1 species